GCCGUAGCAGUACGGAGUGGCAGACGGGUGAGUAACACGUGGGAACAUGCCCUUCGGUUCGGAAUAACUCAGGGAAACUUGAGCUAAUACCGGAUACGUCCAAGGAAACUUGGAGAAAGAUUUAUCGCCGGAGGAUUGGCCCGCGUCUGAUUAGCUAGUUGGUGGGGUAAUGGCUCACCAAGGCGACGAUCAGUAGCUGGUCUGAGAGGAUGAUCAGCCACAUUGGGACUGAGACACGGCCCAAACCCCUACGGGAGGCAGCAGUGGGGAAUAUUGGACAAUGGGCGCAAGCCUGAUCCAGCCAUGCCGCGUGAGUGAUGAAGGCCUUAGGGUUGUAAAGCUCUUUUACCCGGGAAGAUAAUGACGGUACCGGGAGAAUAAGCCCCGGCUAACUUCGUGCCAGCAGCCGCGGUAAUACGAAGGGGGCUAGCGUUGUUCGGAAUCACUGGGCGUAAAGCGCACGUAGGCGGAUCCUUAAGUCAGGGGUGAAAUCCCGAGGCUCAACCUCGGAACUGCCUUUGAUACUGGGGAUCUCGAGUCCGGGAGAGGUGAGUGGAAUUGCCAGUGCAGAGGUGAAAUUCGUAGAUAUUCGCAAGAACACCAGUGGCGAAGGCGGCUCACUGGCCCGGUACUGACGCUGAGGUGCGAAAGCGUGGGGAGCAAACAGGAUUAGAUACCCUGGUAGUCCACGCCGUAAACGAUGGAUGCUAGCCGUUAGACAGCUUGCUGUUUAGUGGCGCAGUUCACGCGUUAAGCAUCCCGCCUGGGGAGUACGGUCGCAAGAUGAAAACUCAGAGGAAUUGACGGGG
rnacentral:rRNA from 1 species